rnacentral:rRNA from 1 species
CGCUGGCGGCGUGCCUAAUACAUGCAAGUCGAGCGAACAGACGAGGAGCUUGCUCCUCUGACGUUAGCGGCGGACGGGUGAGUAACACGUGGGUAACCUACCUAUAAGACUGGGAUAACUCCGGGAAACCGGGGCUAAUACCGGAUAACACAUGAAACCGCAUGGUUUCAUGAUGAAAGACGGUUUUGCUGUCACUUAUAGAUGGACCCGCGGCGUAUUAGCUAGUUGGUAAGGUAACGGCUUACCAAGGCAACGAUACGUAGCCGACCUGAGAGGGUGAUCGGCCACACUGGAACUGAGACACGGUCCAGACUCCUACGGGAGGCAGCAGUAGGGAAUCUUCCGCAAUGGGCGAAAGCCUGACGGAGCAACGCCGCGUGAGUGAUGAAGGUCUUCGGAUCGUAAAACUCUGUUAUUAGGGAAGAACAAGGAUGUAAGUAACUGUGCAUCCCUUGACGGUACCUAAUCAGAAAGCCACGGCUAACUACGUGCCAGCAGCCGCGGUAAUACGUAGGUGGCAAGCGUUAUCCGGAAUUAUUGGGCGUAAAGCGCGCGUAGGCGGUUUUUUAAGUCUGAUGUGAAAGCCCACGGCUCAACCGUGGAGGGUCAUUGGAAACUGGAAAACUUGAGUGCAGAAGAGGAAAGUGGAAUUCCAUGUGUAGCGGUGAAAUGCGCAGAGAUAUGGAGGAACACCAGUGGCGAAGGCGACUUUCUGGUCUGCAACUGACGCUGAUGUGCGAAAGCGUGGGGAUCAAACAGGAUUAGAUACCCUGGUAGUCCACGCCGUAAACGAUGAGUGCUAAGUGUUAGGGGGUUUCCGCCCCUUAGUGCUGCAGCUAACGCAUUAAGCACUCCGCCUGGGGAGUACGGCCGCAAGGCUGA